UCAUCUCAGACUGGCUGUCUACCACGUG
rnacentral:sRNA from 1 species